rnacentral:lncRNA from 1 species
UGCUUCAAUGCGGUUCGCAACAGCGGCAACUUCCACUGCUGUGACCCACUCCAAAUAUUGGAGAUGGCGGCGCAUCGAUCUCAUCCGUCCCCCUUAGAGAUCGAUCUGCGUCGAGGACGACGACGAGAGGAAGAUCCUCUCCACACUGCCGUAUCCCGAGGGGAGAAAGCACGACACCGACGAAAAUUGCCGAGGGGAACAUUGACCGGAACGGUCGUCUGGAAGACGACACC